CAAUAGCGUAUAUUAAAGUUGUUGCGGUUAAAAAGCUCGUAGUUGGAUUUCUGUCUAGGGUGGCCGGUGCCCACUAUGUGAAGCAUCUGGUUCAGUCUGGGCAUCCUCUUGGGGAUCGUUUCCGUGCUUGAUUGCAUGGGGCGGAAUUCAAGACUUUUACUUUGAGGAAAUUAGAGUGUUCACGGCAAGCUUUCGCUUUGAAUACAUUAGCAUGGAAUAAUAAUCUAGGACUUCGGUUCUAUUUUGUUGGUUUCUAGUACUGAAGUAAUGAUUGAUAGGGAUAGUUGGGGGUGCUAGUAUUGGCCGGCCAGAGGUGAAAUUCUUGGAUUCGGUCAAGACUAACUUAUGCGAAAGCAUUCACCAAGGAUGUCUUCUUUAAUCAAGAACGAAGUUGGGGGAUCGAAGACGAUCAGAUACCA
rnacentral:rRNA from 1 species